GGUGAGACAGUGUCACCGUUCUGGGAAGAGCUAGUCUGGGAGAAGGAGUCAGGAUACUAGACCUGUCUGUGAGGCACUGGAUGACUCCAGAAGCUCAAGGAAGCUCAUGGUGAAGCCCCGAUUUGAAAUGGGACUUUGAAGAGGAAGCUCUAGGCCAGCAUGGCUCACAAGGAAGCUGGGUGGCGUUUCUCCUCCUCUCCCACCAUUGUGAAGGAUCUUCUUGCUGCUAGAGUGC
rnacentral:lncRNA from 1 species